GACGAACGCUGGCGGCGCGCUUAACACAUGCAAGUCGAACGGAAAGGCCUGCUUUCCCUUGUGGAUUGCGGGUACUCGAGUGGCGAACGGGUGAGUAACACGUGAGUGAUCUGCCCCCAACUUGGGUAUAAGCCUGGGAAACUGGGUCUAAUUCCCGAUAGGACUGCAGGGUGGUGCCUGUGGUGGCAAACGAUUUUCUAGUGGUAGGGGAUCAGGUGGCGGACUAUCAGGUUGUUGGUGGGGUAGUGUACUACCAAGGCGGCGAGUGGUAGCCGGCCGGGGAAGCUGGACCGCCACAUUUGAACUGCGAUACAGCCCCCACCGCGACGCAAGGCAGCAGUAGCUAAUAAAGCACGAGAGACCGAAGCCUGACGCAGCGACGCCGCUGAGGAGAUGACGCGCUUCGGGUAAUAAUCUUCUUUCGAAAGAGAAAAAGCCACCUUAAUGAAACGGUUGUGACGGUAAUGGAAGAAGAAGCACCGGCUAACUACGUG
rnacentral:rRNA from 1 species